ACGGGGUGCAGCAGGCGCGAAACCUCCACAAUGCGCGAAAGCGUGAUGGGGUUAUCCCGAGUGCCGUCCGAUGAGGAUAGCUUUUCCUCAGUGUAAGCACCUGAGGGAAUAAAGGGGGGGCAAGUCUGGUGUCAGCCGCCGCGGUAAUACCAGCCCCCUGAGUGAUAGGGACAACUAUUUAGCCUAAAGCGUCCGUAGCCGGCUUAGUAAGUCUCUCGUUAAAUCUAACGACUUAAUCGUUAGGCCGCGGAAGAUACUGCUAGGCUUGAGGGCGGGAGAGGUUGACGGUAGUCCUGGGGUAGGGGUGAAAUCCUAUAAUCCCAGGAGGACCACCAGUGGCGAAGGCGGUCAACUAGAACGCGCCUGACGGUGAGGGACGAAAGCUGGGGGAGCAAACCGGAUUAGACACCCGGGUAGUCCCAGCUGUAAACGAUGCGGGCUAGGUGUUGGAGCAGCUACGAGCUGUUCCAGUGCCGCAGAGAAGUUGUUAAGCCCGCCGCUUGAGAAGUACGGCCGCAAGGCUGAAACUUAAAGGAAUUGGCGGGGGAGCAC
rnacentral:rRNA from 1 species